rnacentral:rRNA from 1 species
AUUGAACGCUGGCGGCAGGCCUAACACAUGCAAGUCGAGCGAGCGGCGGACGGGUGCGUAAUGUCUGGGAAACUGCCUGAUGGAGGGGGAUAACUACUGGAAACGGUAGCUAAUACCGCAUACCAUCAGAUGUGCCCAGAUGGGAUUCGCUAGUGGGUGGGGUAAUGGCUCACCUAGGCGCCGAUCCCUAGCUGGUCUGAGAGGAUGACCAGCAAAACUGGAACUGAGACACGGCCCAGACUCCUACGGGAGGAAGCAGUGGGGAAUAUUGCACAAUGGGCGAAAGCCUGAUGCAGCAAUGCCGCGUGUAUGAAGAAGGCCUUCGGGUUGUAAAGUACUUUCAGCGGGGAGGCGUUACCCGCAGAAGAAGCACCGGCUAACUCCGUGCCAGCAGCCGCGGUAAUUC